AACGAACGCUGGCGGCAUGCCUAACACAUGCAAGUCGAACGAGACCUUCGGGUCUAGUGGCGCACGGGUGCGUAACGCGUUGGAACCUGCCUUUAGGUUCGGAAUAACUCAGAGAAAUUUGAGCUAAUACCGGUUGAUGUCUUCGGACCAAAGAUUUAUCGCCUUUAGAUGGGCCCGCGUUGGAUUAGCUAGUUGGUGGGGUAAAGGCCUACCAAGGCGACGAUCCAUAGCUGGUCUGAGAGGAUGAUCAUCCACACUGGGACUGAGACACGGCCCAGACUACGACGGGAGGAAGCAGUGGGGAAUAUUGGACAAUGGGCGAAAGCCUGAUACAGCAAUGCCGCGUGAGUGAUGAAGGCCCUAGGGUUGUAAAGCUCUUUUACCCGAGAUGAUAAUGACAGUAUCGGGAGAAUAAGCUCCGGCUAACUCCGUG
rnacentral:rRNA from 1 species